UCUUAUGUGUGAGCACAGAAAGUGGUUUCUUGAGAUGGAAUCUACUCCUGGUGAAGAUGCUGUGAA
rnacentral:pre_miRNA from 1 species